UACAGGGGGUGCAAACGUUGCUCGGAAUUAUUGGGCGUAAAGCGCGCGUAGGCGGUGACUCAAGUCGGAUGUGAAAGCCCUUGGCUUAACCGAGGAAGUGCAUCCGAAACUGAGUCGCUAGAGUACGAUAGAGGGUCGCGGAAUUCCCGGUGUAGAGGUGAAAUUCGUAGAUAUCGGGAGGAACACCGGUGGCGAAGGCGGCGACCUGGGUCGAUACUGACGCUGAGGCGCGAAAGCGUGGGGAGCGAACAGG
rnacentral:rRNA from 1 species